CGGGGCAUAGCGCAGUUGGUAGCGCGCAAGCUCGGGGAGCUUGAGGCCGCAGGUUCGAGCCCUGCUGUCCCGACCA
rnacentral:tRNA from 1 species